GGUCACUCAGAGGUCACUCAGAGGUCACUCAGAGGUCACUCAGAGGUCACUCAGAGGUCACUCAGUGGUCACUCGGAGGUCACUUAGAGGUCACUC